UCCAGCUAGAUAAUAGGCAAACUCACAGCAUGACACGUCAGAAACACAAAAGCCUAAUGUAAUCUCUUCUCCUUCUCCAACGAUGGUUGCCUACUCGAAUUACUUGUCCGGCUUUGCCAUAACUGAAAUAUAACGCUUUUCUAAGCCAUAUUAAGAUUCACCAUUAACUCUUUCAUUCAAGCUCUCAUGAUUUAAUUACCCCUUACCUAACUUCGAUCACUAAUCCCUAAUUUUUUCAACUAUAAAUAUGGAUUCAGAAAACUCAGAAUCUCACAGCUUCACCUAAUACAACCCUUCUGCUUCCGUACGCAAACACUCAGCAACAGUGUUUCAGCCCAUAUAUUUGAUUUGGAGUCCGAUCGUGUCUUGGCGUGAGCACGGAACGUUAAGAAAGUAGGGAAGCAGAUGUAACUUUGCAUGCUUUACUUGAUGAUAAGGGGGUUGACUCCUCUUUUUACAUUGAUUAUGUAGUAAGAAGAUUCGACAGAUCUUUGGUGAUAUCAGGCUCCUGCAACAACAGACUCCGACAUUGAAUAGAUUCUCAAGAGGCUCUUGCUGCUCAAAAAGACCUCUGAAUAGGUGCGUGAUGCUCUCAAGAAUCAGCCUGUUGACUUGGUCUUAACUGCUUAUCCCACUCAAUCUAAUCAUCGGUCUUUGCUCCAAAAGUUUGGAAGGAUAUGUGAUUGUUUCUCACAGUUAUAUGCAAAGAACAUUACUCCUACUGAUAAACAAGAACUUGAUGAAGCUCUGCUACAAGAGGGGUGGAGACCGUGAUGAUACACUCUUAUUUCUUUCUUUCUUGAAUCGUGAAGGAGAUGGAGUUGUGGAGUCCGAGAAGUGAAAUAGAGAAACUAGAAACAUCAAAGCAGAAGCCAUAGAAGCUUCGCUUACCAGAGUAAAGGUUCAGUUUGAGCAAUGGAGGAAAGCAACCGAGACGGAAACUUCUCAUUACAUUCUGUUUUGGUUGGCGACGUGAGGCAGCAGUCUAAAAGGGUAUGCCCUAUCUCGGGACAACAUUAACAAGUUUGUACAUAGUGGUAGCUAAUUUUAAUAUAAUCCUUAGUCGCUAUCAAAAUCAAACUUCGUAAACAUAUAUUUUGUUUUGUUCUUCAAAAAAAAAAAAACAUAUAUUUUGUUCUUUUAAGCAAAAUGAUUGUUGUUAUAGAUUUUGGAAAUUAACUGCGCAUAGAUUGAGUAAAA